CGCCUCCCGCUGGGAGGCGCAAGUGCUGAGAUGAGACACAAGCCGCACCCGCAGGGGAUCCGAGGAGUCCAGGCCUUCCACGGAGCUCAGAUGAUAAAACUGGAGCUCCAGGGGUCAGUAAUUUACCCAAAGUCACAGAGCUAAUCAAUGGCAGAACCAGGAUUUGAAAUCACGCAAUCCAGCUACAGAUGCGACGCCCUUCACCACUGUACUAUGAGGCAGCUGGAAGUCUUUUCCAGUGCUAGCCCAAACCACCAGCUCCCUUCUUGAAGGCCAUUCUCCAGUGCAAUGACAUCUUCAGUGACCUGACAGUCUGGCAGCGUGUAUGGCGCCUACUUGGAAAUGUCUGUUCACAAACUAUUCUGGGACAAAUUUUAGGACUGUCCAGGUAGCCAAGAAUAGCAACCAAGAUGGAACUUAGUUUUUAUAAUAAAGCCUAAGAACAAUAUUACUUUUUACAAGUACUGCUCCUGCCAAAUAUUUGAAACCCUGAUAAGAAAACUUAGACUUGUGGCUAACAAUCAUAAGGGAAAUAAAGCAAUCAAACAAAUUUUCUUGCAGCAUGACUAAUUCAGUCAGUCUCUUAACAUCCUGAGGUAACAGUUGUAGAGACAGGAUCAUGGGGCUGCAGGGGGCUUUGGCGCUUAUUCUGCUAGUGUAGCCCUCAAAGUACAGCAGACUACUUUUAUCUUAGGUCAAAGGCACAGCAACAGUCAACCUAGAUGGGAUCAUUGGCUUUGGUGAUUUAAUCAAAUUAUCUUGUCCAUUAUGUAAGAACGUUUGCAUCUCAGGCCACUGUAUCUCAGGCCACUGUACCUCACUCAGGAUGGUUCCUUGAGAAGGUACAAUCUGGGGUAACUCAACCCAUUGGGGCUUCUCUAUACAAUGGUUACCCUCCCUCCCUGCUAGACACAGGUAAAAGAUGGUUAAGAUCAGGGCUGAUGUCCUAGGGAUCCUCAACGGUAUGGCUGUAUAGGAGUUAAAUACUGGUAAACAGUUACUUCCCUCCAAUGCCCUGCCUCUGCCCUGAUCUAGGACCCAUAUACUAUGUAGUAAAAGGUUAAUGCUGAGCACAGGGAGGCCUGCAGGAUUUAGUUGCAGCCCUUAAAUCCGUGUGACACCUUCUCCUUAUUCAGUUGUUAAAUAUACUGAAUAACACCCUUAGCUAAGGUGAAUAUCAAAGGAUUCUUCGAAGGAUGAAAAAGAUUCAGAGGGGCAAAAUCAAGUCUCAGUUGUGAUGUGAAAGUCGGAUAAUGAAAUCUGAGUGAACUAGGAUCUCAAAGCUAUUUUUAGCACGAGAUGAGAGAUCGUCUCUCACCACCUUGACAAUUUCUCCCUAAGUCACUAUCUAGUACGGAGGGCACCUCUCCAGGGCCCUGGACCUGGAGUGCCUGCUCCUGUUUGCUUUCCCCAGGAAUGACUCUGCUCCAUUAAUGGCUUCUAGUACAGAGACUUCCUACCUGCACUUCAACUAUUCUGUUUGGUUUCAAUUCAAGACCAACCAAAAUCUAAAGGCAAUAAUGAAAAGAACUCUAGAGUCAUUUCCUUUGGAAUAGCUGAAUUAUUUUCAGUCUUAGCUUUCACUUAAUGUAGAAGAAGAACAAGCAGUAGGAAGAAAGAAGGGGGAGGAUAGAAUUGCAUCUAACCUCCUGUUUAUGUUUGGAUGUUUGUGUUUGUGUGUUUUUUUCUUUCUGUACAGAUUCCAGCAUGCGCUUCUUAAGUCCUAAACAAAUCUCGGACCAGGCUGCUCUGAAUGAAGCUUUACUCCCACAGUAUUAUGAAAGCAAACACAAGCCCAGGGUCAAGUGCUUCUUUUGUUCCAGAAGUUCUUUCCCACGAGUUCAAUCCUGCCAUUAGCAUUGAUUUCCACGGCUUUAAUCUGGGGCCGCCUAUCCCAGCUUGUUAAAGAACUGUUCAACUAUGACUUCCUUACAAUAUUAGGGGAAUAACAUGAAAAGAGAAAGGUAAAAAAGGC